rnacentral:lncRNA from 1 species
AAGAUUAUCUCCUUAUCAAACAAAAAUAUUUACAGUCAAAUAAUUUAUAUUUGACCGUAACUAAUUAAUAAGCAUAUAUUUAUCAUCUGUACGUGUAAAUUUUUUUACACCAUAAAAUUUUACUGUGGGCGUAAAGUUUCUAAACACGGUAACAAAAAAAAAGUAGGAGGUAAAACGAAAAACUAGCAGAACAACAAAGUAACGGCCCUCAAGUCCCCACACGCAUGCAAAACUGCUGUAUUAAAUCCAUCCGUUUCCAAGAUCUAUGCUUCAUCGUCUUCUUCUUCUUCAUCAUUUUUUUUUCUCUUAAAAGGAAAAAAGGUUAUUUUUUCCCCUUAAUUGUUGAUGUUAGUUGAGUUCUAGAUCAUCUAAUUUAAUUUCUGGGUGUACCUAGAAACUCAAUUUUCCAUGGGGUUUUCUUGACCUUUUUAUUGAAUGCUUCAAACAGAAAAAAACAUGGAGGUUGCUAGAAUUAGACAAUUGUUGCUCCUUUGGAGUAGAAUCAAAUCUACCCGUGUUGCUCUUGUGGGUGGCAAUCACACCGCCGCUAGGUUUUGUACUCGCUAAAUUCACCUUUUUUUCCGUCGCUGGAUUUCCCCCCCCCCCCCCCCCCCCCCCCCCCCCCCCCCCCCCCCCCCCCCCCCCCCCCCCCCCCCCCCCCCCCCCCCCCCCCCCCCCCCCCCCCCCCCCCCCCCCCCCCCCCCCCCCCCCCCCCCCCCCCCCCCCCCCCCCCCCCCCCCCCCCCCCCCCCCCCCCCCCCCCCCCCCCCCCCCCCCCCCCCCCCCCCCCCCCCCCCCCCCCCCCCCCCCCCCCCCCCCCCCCCCCCCCCCCCCCCCCCCC